GAAAUGCGAUAAGUAAUGUGAAUUGCAGAAUUCAGUGAAUCAUCGAAUCUUUGAACGCACCUUGCGCUCCUUGGUAUUCCGGGGGGCAUGCCUGUCCGAGCGUCAUUGCUGCCCUUCAAGCCCGGCUUGUGUGUUGGGUCGUCGUCCCCUCCGGGGGACGGGCCCGAAAGGCAGCGGCGGCACCGCGUCCGGUCCUCGAGCGUAUGGGGCUUUGUCACCCGCUCGAUAAGGACCGGCCGGGCGCCAGCCGGCGUCUCCAACCUUUUUUUCUCAGGUUGACCUCGGAUCAGGUAGGGAUACCCGCUGAACUUAAGC
rnacentral:misc_RNA from 1 species